GCUAAACAAUUCACAACUCUCGCGCUCUUUCUUCUUUGUCUUUUGGCUUCUCAGGAGACAAUGGUGAUUGGAGCACAUACAUGCUCAAGGAUAAGCACAUUGUUUACUGGGACUUGCUCAGGUGGACCUAUCCUUGAUGCUUACUGCUCCUCAGAGUGUAAGGAAGAGGGCUAUUUAUUUGGUGAAUGCACCAGUAAUCAACAAUGUCUCUGUACACAAAUUUGCAAUUAGAAUUGUAACUUAAUUAGAUUUUGUUGCCAAUUUAGGCAUCAGAGUUUAUGUAUUUUCAUAAUUAUAAUGUCGAAAUGGAAAACUUCAUUUUGAAUU